rnacentral:rRNA from 1 species
UACAGAGGCCUCGAGCGUUAGGCGGAAUCACUGGGCUUAAAGCGCGUGUAGGCGGCCUUCUAAGUACCUUGUGAAAUCCCACAGCUUAACUGUGGAACUGCUUGGUAUACUGGUUGUCUUGAGGUACCUAGGGGCGAGCGGAACAAGUGGUGGAGCGGUGAAAUGCGUAGAUAUCACUUGGAACGCCAACGGUGAAAACAGCUCGCUGGGGGUAUCCUGACGCUGAGACGCGAAAGCCAGGGGAGCAAACGGG